rnacentral:rRNA from 1 species
AUUGAACGCUGGCGGCAUGCCUAACACAUGCAAGUCGAACGGGGGUAGUGAUACCUCAGUGGCGGACGGGUGAGGAAGGCGUAGGAAUCGGCCCACGAGUGGGGGACAACCUGGGGAAACUCAGGCUAAUACCGCAUGAGCUCGGGAGAGGAAAGCGGGGGGACCUUCGGGCCUCGCGCUGGUGGACGAGCCUACGUCCGAUUAGCUGGUUGGUGGGGUAAGGGCUCACCAAGGCGACGAUCGGUAGCGGGUCUGAGAGGACGACCCGCCACACUGGGACUGAGACACGGCCCAGACUCCUACGGGAGGCAGCAGUGGGGAAUCUUGGACAAUGGGCGCAAGCCUGAUCCAGCAAUGCCGCGUGGGUGAAGACGGCCUGCGGGUUGUAAGCCUUUAGGCGGGAGGAACGACUAGGUGCUAACACCAUCUGGGAGUGACGUUACCCGCGGAAUAAGCACCGGCUAACUCCGUGCCAGCAGCCGCGGUAAU